AUGAUUACUAUUACUCUAUGAAAAAGUGUGUCCAGCCCUGCUGUAGGCUCUAGAAUUCUAGGAUCCAUUUAGAAUAGAUCAUGGUUUAGAUGAGCAGCGCAUUGAUGUUGAUGUACUGAGACACUAGAAUCAUAGAAUGUGUUAUGAUGUGACGUCUAACAAUCCCAUGUAGCUGAUUUGGGGGUGUCUCUGGGUCCUCUUGCACUUGUUCAACUUCAUAGUUUAUUUAGUUUAUCAGGAGAUGAAACUGAAUAACAGAAAUAGUACAGGGUUGUUUUACAUUGAGGGAGAGGGAGCUGAGCUCUGGUGUGCUCCGUUCCCAAUUUAACCUAUGGUCUCCCUGUGUUUGCGUGGGUUCUCCACAGGUAUUCCUGCUUCCUCCCACCAUCCAAAGUCAUGCACUAAUAGAUUAAGUGGUUAAUCUAAAUUUCCCAUACGUGUGAAUGUGAGUGACUGGUUGUUCGUCUCUAUAUAUGUCAGCGAUAAACUGGCGACAUGCCCAGGGUGAACCCCACCUUCACCUGAAAUGUAGCUGGGAUAGGCUUCAACACCCCCGCUACUCUCUCGAGGAUAAAGUGGUUCAGAA